CCGGAAUCUGCAAAAGAUGCUGAACCACCAUCGGAAAUAGAUGCUCGUACGAUAAUCGCUCUUCUCCUCGUUAC
ensembl:ncRNA T21B4.21 ncRNA